GGUGGUUUGCAGGGUGGUUAAAUGGCGCCCCACUUUUGCAUCCCACGGCUCAUGGCUUCUCUGCAGCCCUCCUGUGCGCUGAGCUGCCAAUCCGUUUGCCCCUCACAGUUCCGACUCUACCCUCCUCUCUCCAGCUCUAUCAAUGGCAGCAACAUUAAUAUUAAUGAGAGGAAUUAAUACACAUUUCCCGGAAAAGGUCAAGGAAAACAGAACCACAAAAGACUGAGCACAAUUAGUGUGCUCGGUGUUUGGUAAACAUUUUUUCAUUAAAUCCAGACGAUGUAGCACUCAGAGGUCAAACUACUGUGGGCAUCAGGAAAACAUAACUAAGAGCAAUCCGAUUUAUGCACAGCCUGCGGUGGGGCCUCAUUACAACACAACCCCUGAUCCCUAUACUUCUGAAUGCCUGAUAGAAGAUCAGCUUUACAACAGAGAAUGAAGACCUUUUUCCUUGGAGUCCCAGAACUCCAAGUCAAACAUUUACGAUAUGACAAAUAAAAGCUAUGUUCUAAUGCAA